UACGGGGGGGCAAGCGUGUUCGGAAUUACUGGGCGUAAAGGGCGCGUAGGCGGCCUGCUAAGUCGGACGUGAAAUCCCUCGGCUCAACCGAGGAACUGCGUCCGAUACUGGUGGGCUUGAAUCCGGGAGAGGGAUGUGGAAUUCCAGGUGUAGCGGUGAAAUGCGUAGAUAUCUGGAGGAACACCGGUGGCGAAGGCGGCAUCCUGGACCGGUAUUGACGCUGAGGCGGCGAAAGCUAGGGGAGCAAACGGGAUAGAAACCC
rnacentral:rRNA from 1 species